rnacentral:tRNA from 1 species
GGGGUUGUGGCUCAGUAGUAGAGUGCUUGCCUAGCAUGCAUGAGGCCCUGGGUUGGAUCCUCAGCACCA